GUGCCAGCCGCCGCGGUAAAACGUAGGAGGCGAGCGUUAUUCGGAUUUACUGGGCGUAAAGCGCGUGCAGGCGGCUUCGUAAGUCAGGCGUGAAAUCUCCCGGCUUAACUGGGAGGCUGCGUCUGAUACUGCGGAGCUAGAGGUCGGGAGAGGGAAGUGGAAUUCCCGGUGUAACGGUGGAAUGUGUAGAUAUCGGGAGGAACACCAGUGGCGAAGGCGGCUUCCUGGCCCGCACCUGACGCUCAGACGCGAAAGCGUGGGGAGCGAACGGGAUUAGAUACCCCGGUAGUCCACGCCGUAAACGAUGUCGACCAGGUGUUGGGGCGAAAGGCUUCAGCGCCGAAGCUAACGCGAUAAGUCGACCGCCUGGGGAGUACGGCCGCAAGGCUAAAACUCAAAUGAAUUGACGGGG
rnacentral:rRNA from 1 species